UACGAAGGGUGCAAGCGUUACUCGGAAUUACUGGGCGUAAAGCGUGCGUAGGCGGUUUGUUAAGUCUGAUGUGAAAGCCCCCGGCUCAACCGGGGAGGGUCAUUGGAAACUGGGGAACUUGAGUGUAGAAGAGGAAAGUGGAAUUCCACGUGUAGCGGUGAAAUGCGUAGAGAUGUGGAGGAACACCAGUGGCGAAGGCGACUUUCUGGUCUACAACUGACACUGAGGCGCGAAAGCGUGGGGAGCAAACAGG
rnacentral:rRNA from 1 species